rnacentral:rRNA from 1 species
CGAUACGAGUUUGAUCCUGGCUCAGAUUGAACGCUGGCGGAAUGCUUUACACAUGCAAGUCGAACGGCAGCACGAGGGCAACCUUGGUGGCGAGUGGCGAACGGGUGAGUAAUACAUCGGAACGUGCCCAGUCGUGGGGGAUAACGUAGCGAAAGCUACGCUAAUACCGCAUACGAUCUAUGGAUGAAAGCGGGGGACCGUAAGGCCUCGCGCGAUUGGAGCGGCCGAUGGCAGAUUAGGUAGUUGGUGGGGUAAAGGCUCACCAAGCCUGCGAUCUGUAGCCGGUCUGAGAGGACGACCAGCCACACUGGAACUGAGACACGGUCCAGACUCCUACGGGAGGCAGCAGUGGGGAAUUUUGGACAAUGGGCGCAAGCCUGAUCCAGCCAUUCCGCGUGCAGGAUGAAGGCCUUCGGGUUGUAAACUGCUUUUGUACGGAACGAAAAGGUUUUCCUUAAUACGGAGAGCUCAUGACGGUACCGUAAGAAUAAGCACCGGCUAACUACGUG